rnacentral:lncRNA from 1 species
UUUUCUUAUCAGCUAUUCGUUCAGACACCCCUUAAGGAUUUGGGAUCGCUCCAAGCUUUGAUUGUGCAUCUGUUGGAGAGUUGGAAGCUAUUUGUCAUUUCCCUAUAUUUUAACUUUUGUGUGUUUUUUGUCCAUGCCAUGGCUCAUGCACUACAUUUUGGAUUAGCAUGAUUAAUCUUGUAAUAAUUUGAGUUUAAACAUAUUCUGGUAUGAGAUUGUUGACCAACUAAGUUCAGGUGGGUCAUUAAAUUUAUGGAAUAAUUUCAAUUGGCAGAUGAGUUCCUUGCAAGUUAUAUAUAUAUGCCCAUUGCAAUUGGUGAAGAAAGAAAGUGGCAAUUGCAGAAUAACUUACGGGUAGGAUCAGUAGACCACUUGCAAAUGAUGUUUUAUCAAGUGUUUCAUCUAUGUUUUCUUUAACUAUUGUUAACUAUUAUUACACCCUUUUAUUAAGCAAAAUCAAUUAAUACAGUACUUUUCAAGUGAGGAUGUUGUUUUCUGACCUGUUCAUGAAAUAGAAAUAAAAAUAAAAAUAGGUGGGUUGCAUGUAAUUGUGAAAUGGACUUCCUAGCCGAACACACUUAGAUUAUAAACAACAAAUGUCCUUGAUGAUGUGACAGGCUCUGGCGUUUUAUGGUAAGAAAAAUAACAUAGGCAUCUGGCCUAAAGGGCCUAUCUCUUAAUUCCUCAUUUGCUGACCUUUGUUGAAAGAACAUAUGAUUUUUGGAGAGAAAGGGAGAAUGAUUGAACUCAUAAUCCAAUUAUAUAAAAAUGAGUUAGAGCAAAGCCAGCUAGAUUAUCUCCAAUCAUGAAAUGGCUAAUAUUCAUUAUUCUCAUACUGCUCUUCAUAUGUUAGGUACUCAUACAUGUGCUUUUCUAAAAAACAAUAUUGCAUUGAAUUAUUCCACACAUUAAAUAAAAUUCAGAUAAUUCAUAUGGUAAAAAUUCCAUAUUUGUUUUUUAGAAAAAAUCCUCCAAAGUGAGCAAAGGGUAGAAGUGAAUAUUUAAUAAAUGUCCCCUCUUACUUUACAUUAUUAAAAAUCCUCCAUUGUUGUACCCAAAUCUUAAUAACCGAAGCAGUAAUAUACAAAAUCCACAAGUUAAAAUAAAAGGUAGAUGAAAUUUGUAGAGUUGGAACUUGGAAAUGGUGUAAAAUUGGUUGAAGCAAGUUAUUAGUUGAAGAAUAAUAAAUAAAUAAAUAAAUAAGACAUUCUUCUUUAUAUACACUGACAUGACGAUGAAGAAUGAAUGUAAAUUUGUAUAUAUGUGGAUCUAGCUACAACCAUUUGAACCCUAAUAAUCACUUAUUAUGGCUACUACGGUGGUGGUGAAGGGUGGUGGUGGUGGUGGUUCAUCAUCAUCAUCAUCAUCACGGAACCUUGAAGAAGCUCUUAAUCCUUUCAACUCUCUUCCAUUUCAUCCCGAUUCUUAUCUUCACAACAAUUCCUCCCUCAACGAUAAGGUCAUCAUUCAUAUUUGCCUUCACCAUUGCAAUCUCUUUCAACAUCGUUUUUCUUUCUUAUUUUCGAUUACUUUAUUUUCAUUUCAUUUCAUUUCCUUCUGUUCUUGCCUUGUGGACAUUUUUCUUGUUCAGAUUGUUUGUCAAUCUUUAUAAAUCGAUUAUGAAAAUGUGUUUGUUUAUCAGGAAAUUAAGCAAUUAUGCUCACUCCAGCUUUUUUAAGAAGCUAUAUUUUUCAGCUUCUCAAAAAAUCACAUUUUUAUUUAAGACUAAACAAACUGGUUGUAAGUACCCCCAAAAAUGUUGCAUCUUGAUCAGGAUUAUUGGAAUGCACAGUGUUGAUACCACACCCUCUAAUUUGUUGUUACAACUCAAAUGAAUUACACUUUGAACUUUGCAUCGAAAUGUCUUUUUAUGUAUUAAAGUUUGCAGUUUAUUUGGUCUGUUCUGAUGAAUAUCCAACUUGUUUUCUUAUCAGCUAUUCGUUCAGACACCCCUUAAGGAUUUGGGAUCGCUCCAAGCUUUGAUUGUGCAUCUGUUGGAGAGUUGGAAGCUAUUUGUCAUUUCCCUAUAUUUUAACUUUUGUGUGUUUUUUGUCCAUGCCAUGGCUCAUGCACUACAUUUUGGAUUAGCAUGAUUAAUCUUGUAAUAAUUUGAGUUUAAACAUAUUCUGGUAUGAGAUUGUUGACCAACUAAGUUCAGGUGGGUCAUUAAAUUUAUGGAAUAAUUUCAAUUGGCAGAUGAGUUCCUUGCAAGUUAUAUAUAUAUGCCCAUUGCAAUUGGUGAAGAAAGAAAGUGGCAAUUGCAGAAUAACUUACGGGUAGGAUCAGUAGACCACUUGCAA